rnacentral:rRNA from 1 species
ACUCCUACGGGAGGCAGCAGUGGGGAAUAUUGGACAAUGGGGGCAACCCUGAUCCAGCAAUGCCGCGUGUGUGAAGAAGGCCUUCGGGUUGUAAAGCUCUUUUGCCAGGGACGAUGAUGACGGUACCUGGAGAAUAAGCCCCGGCUAACUUCGUGCCAGCAGCCGCGGUAAUACGAAGGGGGCUAGCGUUGUUCGGAAUUACUGGGCGUAAAGGGCGCGUAGGCGGAUGUUUAAGUCGGGGGUGAAAGCCCGGGGCUCAACCUCGGAAUUGCCUUCGAUACUGGACAUCUUGAGUACGGGAGAGGUUGGUGGAAUUCCCAGUGUAGAGGUGAAAUUCGUAGAUAUUGGGAAGAACACCGGUGGCGAAGGCGGCCAACUGGACCACAACUGACGCUGAGGCGCGAAAGCGUGGGGAGCAAACAGGAUUAGAUACCCUGGUAGUCCACGCUGUAAACGAUGCGUGCUAGACGUUGGGCACCCUAGGUGUCCGGUGUCGUCGCUAACGCUUUAAGCACGCCGCCUGGGGAGUACGGUCGCAAGAUUAAAACUCAAAGGAAUUGACG